AUAAAGGCUGUGAAAAGAAGCAGUAAGAUAUAAAAAGUUUAAGAGAGCUGCUGUGUGGUGAAAAGCAGUACUUGAUAUAUCUGAACUCGUCUUGGAGCUGUCUGGAUGAAAAUUAGUAAUCCAGGCCGGAUUUUUCCGUUAUAAAUUUAAGUGGAUAGUAUAAUACUAUCAAUUAGAGUGGCACCGCGGAAAUUCUUUCGUCUCUAAA
rnacentral:ncRNA from 1 species